AACAUUCGUACCGUAUUCCGAACACUGGUGGACUAGUUUAAUGUACUCAGGCCAUAGGAUCAACCACGUUAAAGGAACUCGGCAAAAUGCACUCGUGACCGUGGAGGAUGAGUGGCUAAAAAGACACAGAAAAUUGACGACGGCGCCUGUUUAACAAAAACACGGAAUAGUGCAAACAGUUCUGAACUGGCGGUAAACUAUUCGCCGCCUGCCCAAAGGCGAAAGCAAACGGCGGCAGUAACCCUGACUGUCCUAAGGUAGCGAAAUCCCUUGACGUUUAAUUGGCGUCGUUGCAUGAAUGGCUGAACGACUGUCGUGCUGUCUCUAACGUGGAAUCUGUGAAUUUGCACUCUUCGUGCAGAUGCGAAGAUGCUGACAAGGGACGAAGAGACCCUAUGCAGCUUAGCUGGGUGUGAAAAGUUUGUUUAGGAGAGUACAGCGGGUUAUUUUAUCCCCCCCUUGCUACAGGACACUAACUUUGAGGCUCAAGCUUCGCUGGGACGGCGGCUUCCUGAAUAGUAACGGGAGCAAAACAAUGGUACUGCUAAAACUUAAAUGGAAAGUUGUACUUAACUGCAAGAACCACUAUUCGAGCAGAGAUUGUUGGGCGGUUGUUUUUUUACAAUUUCUUAAUGAUG
rnacentral:rRNA from 1 species